GAGGAUUAGCUCAGCUGGGAGAGCAUCUGCCUUACAAGCAGAGGGUCGGCGGUUCGAGCCCGUCAUCCUCCACCAU
rnacentral:tRNA from 1 species